UUUAAAUGGCUGCAGUAUUUUGACUGUACAAAGGUAGCAUAAUCAUUUGUCUUUUAAUUGAAGGCUUGUAUGAAUGGUUGGAUGAAAAAUAUACUUUCUUUAUUUUAUAUAAAAAAUUUAAUUUUCUAGUCAAAAAGCUAGGAUUUUUUUAUAGGACGAGAAGACCCUAUAGAACUUUAUUUUCUUUUUUUAUAAAUUUUAUAGAUAAAUAUAAGUUUAUAUAUUUUUGUUAAUUUUGUUGGGGUGAUUGAAAAAAUUUUUUAACUUUUUCUAUUUUUUACAUUUAUAUAUGUUUUUUUGAUCCUUUAUUAUGGAAUAAAAGAUUAAGUUACCUUAGGGAUAACAGCGUUAUUUUUUUGGAGAGUUCUUAUCGAUAAAAAAGUUUGCGACCUCGAUGUUGGAUUAAAUUAAGUAAUAGGAGUAGAAUGUUAUUUACUAGGUCUGU
rnacentral:rRNA from 1 species